GACGAACGCUGGCGGCGUGCUUAACACAUGCAAGUCGAACGAAGAGCGAUGGAAGCUUGCUUCUAUCACUCUUAGUGGCGCACGGGUGAGUAACGCGUGAUCAACCUGCCCUUCAGAGGGGGACAACAGUUGGAAACGACUGCUAAUACCGCAUACGAUCUAAUCUCGGCAUCGAGGAUAGAUGAAAGGUGGCCUCUACAUGUAAGCUAUCACUGAAGGAGGGGAUUGCGUCUGAUUAGCUAGUUGGAGGGGUAACGGCCCACCAAGGCGAUGAUCAGUAGCCGGUCUGAGAGGAUGAACGGCCACAUUGGGACUGAGACACGGCCCAGACUCCUACGGGAGGCAGCAGUGGGGAAUCUUCCGCAAUGGACGAAAGUCUGACGGAGCAACGCCGCGUGAGUGAUGACGGCCUUCGGGUUGUAAAGCUCUGUUAAUCGGGACGAAAGGCCUUCUUGCGAAUAGUGAGAAGGAUUGACGGUACCGGAAUAGAAAGCCACGGCUAACUACGUG
rnacentral:rRNA from 1 species